rnacentral:misc_RNA from 1 species
CUGUGAGAUGGCAAAUACAAGUGCUCUAUUUUUCAUGGAAUUAUGGUUGCAAUAUAUACACGUAUACAUUUUGAAAUAACUUUUAUGGAGCAGAAGGUUUGAAGUCCACAUAAUUAUUGGAACAACCAAUUGUGGAAGGUCAUCAAGCUUGAGAGGUCCCUGUUCCAUUCUUCUCCCGUUCCCGUAGUCUGGCUCGUUCCAUCUUUCUUUUACGCCAUUCCUCCAGAGCUUUCAAGCUGGCAGCAUCAUUAAUAGAACGCAAAUCCUUUAAUCUUUUAGAAAGAUCAACAGCAGCAGUUUGCUUUGUAUCUUUCUGUUGUACUACUUCUGGUUCUGCAUAUGCUUCCUGUUCAAUUUCCUUCACUCUUUUUAUCAGUGCCCAAGGUUGUAUGGCAAGGCGUAUUUCUUCAGACUCCUUGAUGUACCUCAGCUGAACUGAAUUAAAUUGGUUAGAUAAGAGUCUGUUGUUGCUGUAAGAGGCAGAGGAGAGAAAGCCCUGGAGCAAGAAAAGGGCAGUGAUCACAUUGAAUAUUGUCAAGACAAUCGUCGCGUUCUUGAAGGACAAUCUCACCCUCCAUGACUGCUGUAUGUCCAUUUCCUUCUCCUUCACCUUCUCAAAG